ensembl:snRNA U6 U6 spliceosomal RNA
AUGCUUGUUUCAGCAGUACAUAUACUAAAAUUGUAAUGAUACAGAGACAAUUAGCAUGGCCCCUGUGCAAGGAUGACACAAAAAAGAAAAAAGAAAAAAAAAAACACU